AACUUGCAUGCAAAAAGCUAAGCAUAAGCAAGCAGCCUGGGCUGCUAAUUCUCUUUCACAUUAACCGUUGAGGUUAGAUGAGUAAGAAAAAGAAUCCUUUGGUAUUCUUAGAUGUUUCGAUUGGUGGAGAUCCAGUGGAAAAAAUUAUUAUCGGGCUAUUUGCAGAUGUUGUUCCCAAGACAGCUGAGAAUUUCCGGGCACUCUGUACAGAUAUCUCUAAAAAUUUUCAGUAUUUAGUAAGUUGUUAUAUUUACAGUUGAUUAGAGAGCAUGGUGUAGUUCAAUUGGUUGAGCUUAUAAUAGUUGUCAUCUUUUUACAGCGUGUCGGUAUUUAUGAACCUGCCGUCAAUUAUUUUUUAAUGUCUUUAUAAGUUCCUUAUAAUGUCUCUAGUACUGUAGACUUUGUAGUC